UUGUUCAAAAAGGAAUGACUGCUGUGCUCAUUUCAGAACAAUACAAAGGACAUUAACACGCCCCUGUACAAGGAUGAUGUGAAAAUUUGUGAAACAUUACAUAUUUUU
rnacentral:snRNA from 1 species